rnacentral:rRNA from 1 species
UACGGAAGGCAGCAGUGGGGAAUAUUGCACAAUGGGCGAAAGCCUGAUGCAGCUAUGCCGCGUGUAUGAAGAAGGCCUUAGGGUUGUAAAGUACUUUCAUCGGGGAGGAAAAAACAAAACUAAUAAUUUUAUUUCUUGACGUUACCCGAAAAAGAAGCACCGGCUAACUCCGUGCCAGCAGCCGCGGUAAUACGGAGGGUGCUAGCGUUAAUCAGAAUUACUGGGCGUAAAGAGCACGUAGGUGGUUUUUUUAAGUCAGAUGUGAAAUCCCUGGGCUUAACCUGGAACUGCAUUUUGAAACUGAAAUACUAGAGUAUCGUAGAGGGAGGUAGAAUUCUAGGUGUAGCGGUGAAAUGCGUAGAUAUCUGGAGGAAUACCUGUGGCGAAAGCGGCCUCUAAACGAAUACUGACACUGAGGUGCGAAAGCGUUGGGGA